AUUUUUUGGUAUUACCGCCACCGUUUGGCCUGGAAUAUGCUACGUGCUAGCUUGCAGCAAUUAACAAUAAUUAAUAUAAUUUACAUAGUUAAUUGACAAACACAGGCCUCAUAGUGUCCUUAAUGUGAAGCUCAUAAAAGCAUUCGAUUUCGUUCUUGAAGCUUCUUUUACACAGAAACUUUAGGAUGUAAGGUGAGUUACAACUUCUUAAAAGUGUGCAAUGUGAGUCCAUCAGUAGGCUAAACAAAUUCGAUCCUUGUUAUGAAGCUGUUUAAUUGGGCGUCUUUAGAUAUGCCUAUAGCCUACUACCGUUAUUUUCAUUUUAAUAUAACUAGCUUAUGUUUCAACGAGUUGAAACCGGCGACUGAACAAAAUAGGAUGAAGGCCUAGGCUAUAAGGCUAUGUUUAAAGAAAGAGGGGGGGAGUCAUAGAUGCCCAUUUCACAAGAUGUCGCCUAAUAAAUCUGCUGAAUCUUCAAAGGAACGCAGGAUGGCCUACCGGUAACAUUUACCUGAGUUCAACGUAUCCGGAAAUUGUGAAAUGGACUAAUCAAGGCACUCCCAGGAGGACAUGAAAUAUUUACAGGUAAAGUAAAACAUCCUGGCCUGGUUGUCCUAUCUCAGUUUUGAACGUUAAGUCCUGAAGGCUGUGGGUUGAAACAUGUUGGCCAAUGCAGCAAAAAAGUCUUCAGGUCUGAUUGUUAGUAACCUAUAUGGAAUUUUUAUGUGUGACUUUGAACGUCUAACUUGUAUACGUCUGGAAGGUCACAAGAGCUGAUGUCUUUGAAUGUGCAGGCCUAAGAGCCAUUAUUUGGACGUGUGAAAAUACUUGAUGUUGCUGUC